UACGUAGGAUCCGAGCGUUGUCCGGAUUUAUUGGGUUUAAAGGGUGCGUAGGCGGGUUAUUAAGUCAGGGGUGAAAGCCUACAGCUCAACUGUAGAAUUGCCUCUGAAACUGGUAACCUUGAGUGUGGUUGAGGUGGAUGGAAUGUAUCAUGUAGCGGUGAAAUGCUUAGAUAUGAUACAGAACACCGAUUGCGAAGGCAGUUCACUAAGCCAUUACUGACGCUGAGGCACGAAAGCAUGGGUAGCAAACAGGAUUAGAUACCCUGGUAGUCCAUGCUGUAAACGUUGAACACUCGAUGUUGGCGAUAUACUGUCAGCGUCCAAGCGAAAGCGUUAAGUGUUCCACCUGGGGAGUACGAUCGCAAGGUUGAA
rnacentral:rRNA from 1 species